AACGCACAUUGCGCCCCAUGGUAUUCCGUAGGGCACGUCUGUCUGAACGUCAUUUUAAACUCAGGCUUUGCCUGGUGAUGGAGGCGGCGCACGCCGUCUUCCGCAAUCCGUCGGCGGAGGCCGCCGCGAGCCGAUACGAUGAACAUCUUUGUCGAGCUCUGUGGUGGGCAGCCUGCCAAAUAAACUCUGUAGCUUGACUUCAGGUCAGACGAGGUUACCCGCUGAACUUAA
rnacentral:misc_RNA from 1 species